UACGUAGGGGGCGAGCGUUGUCCGAAGUUACUGGGCGUAAAGCGCGCGUAGGCGGGCCUUUAAGUCUGGUGUGAAAGGUUGAGGGCUCAACCCCAACAGUGCACUGGAUACUUUAGGCCUUGAGUUGGGCAGAGGAGAGUGGAAUUCCUGGUGUAGCGGUGAAAUGCGUAGAUAUCAGGAGGAACACCGGUGGCGAAGGCGGCAUCCUGGACCGACACUGACGCUCAUGCACGAAAGCGUGGGGAGCAAACAGG
rnacentral:rRNA from 1 species